rnacentral:tRNA from 1 species
GCCGAAAUAGCUCAGUUGGGAGAGCGUUAGACUGAAGUUGUUUACGCAACAGUCAUGUAAAGGCCCCCGGUCAAAUCCCGGGUUCCGGCA